rnacentral:rRNA from 1 species
UACGUAGGGGGCGAGCGUUGUCCGGAUUCAUUGGGCGUAAAGAGCUCGUAGGCGGUUCAGUAAGUCGGGUGUGAAAUCUCCGUGCUCAACACGGAGCGGCCACCUGAUACUGCUGUGACUCGAGUCCGGUAGGGGAGUGUGGAAUUCCCGGUGUAGCGGUAAAAUGCGCAGAUAUCGGGAGGAACACCAGUAGCGAAGGCGGCACUCUGGGCCGUGACUGACGCUGAGGAGCGAAAGCGUGGGUAGCAAACAGG